rnacentral:lncRNA from 1 species
GAAGCUCUGGAAAGAAAAGCUGUAAGCUGCUAUACUCUGCACAGAGCAUCCAUCUGCACCAGUUACAGGUCAGCAGUCAAGUUUUCUUCCCUUUGCUUCUCAGCACAUGGGGAUUUUCGAUGUUCUUCCAGGAGCUCCAGCCCCAAUGGGCAGCCAGGAACGGGAGUAGGAGGCCAGCGGUGACCCGCGCUGAGAGGACCCAGCAAGUUUUGGGCUCUGCUUAUUCCGUUGACUCGGUGAGAGACUGGGGACCAUAUCUUGCUGACUGAUGGCGGCUGCACUGUGUCUGCAUAAGAGGCUGAAUUUCACCGUGGAGCUAGCCCAGCCCUCUAAACUUCAACCACUUGAAAGGUCUCCAUCAAAACACUUUCUGGUACACUCUUCCUCUUACAUGGUCUGAAACAACGGCAUUGUCCCACAAUGACACUGGCCAAGAGGGAUCAAAGGGGUUUGUUGCUGUUGCCCAGACACCUGUUCUUCCUUUGUGUCCCAGGCUGGUCUUGGACUCACUGGCUAGCGUGGGCUGGCCUCUAAUUCAUGAUUCUUCUGCUCCUUCAUCUCAAGCGCUAGAAUAACAGCCAUGAGGUGCCACGCCCAACUCCAACAGAAUGCUUUUAAAACCUUCUAGGCCUUUAAGAGUAUACACAAACACUGGCCGGGCUGGGGGAAUGGCUCAGUGGUGAGGAGCACUGGUUGCUUCUCUAGAUGACCUGGGUUCAGUUCCCGGCACCCACCUGGCAGCUCACAACUAUCUGUAACAGUUCUAGGGGAUCUAUUCCACCAGGCUCACACAUGGUACACG